CCUGAUUACGUGAAUCAAAACCAUGUGUUAGGCUACAGCUUAGAAUUAGCUCCAGGCAUUAUAUUGAUUGGCUGGACAGCUAACAAUAGCUCCAUCGAAUCACAGCCACAAUUAGGGCGGACAUUUCAAGAUAUAAAGUAAUGGCGACGGGAGAUCCUUCAAAGGAAUGUGGCGUCUGUUGCGAGGAUUAUGACCAGGACAUCCGCUGCCCAAGGAUUCUCAAGUGUUAUCACACGCUCUGCACUGACUGCAUCAGUCGUUCCAUCAGGAGCAACAAUCAGCGAUGCCCCUUCUGUCGGAGGCCCUUCAGAGUAAAUACUGCCCACGAAGUCACGGUAAACCAAGCUGCCCUCGAUCUGGUUAAGUUUAUCUCUAUUCAAGAAUCUAAUUCAAAGUCAGACGAGAACAGAUGUUAUGCUUGCAAAUCUUGCAGCCCUGAUCCCGUAGUAGAGAUGAAUGAAACGUGUGGCGAGCUCCUCAUGCAAUGCACAGCGUCCCAAAAACAAGUAGCUAACAUCCUUAAGUACAUUGAGGAAUUGCAUGGAGACAUCAAACAAGAAAAGAGCUUCACAGAAAAUUCUACUUUACUCCAUAGUGAAAAAAUUUCUCGCAUCGAAAGGUCAGAAACACGACUGCAGAAGGCUGACUAUUGCCUGAGGAUUCAACUGAAAGAAGUGGAAUCCAAGAUAAAUGAAUUACAAGUCAUGAAAGCAAGACUGGGCGAUUUCUUAGCUAAUAAACAGAUGAAGAGUAGCAGCAUGAAGGAAGAAGCCGAGGGGAUGGUCUCUGAUGUUCAAAAGUGGCUGCUGAAUUUCAAGAAGCAGUUGGCAGAAGGAGGAGAAAUCCGCUCAACAAUAAAGGAAAUUGAGGAGAGAGACGCAGUGGAUGUAGCAGCAGACACUUGCGAACUGAAUGGAAAGGACGGCGUUAAGGACUCUCUACUAAUGAAUACAGCAGCUCUUUCUUUACAGGGCGACUUCUGCAAACAAUCUCUGAGGAUCUGUGUCUCGUCUAAGCUUUUCCUGGUGGAAAACAAAAUGCAUUCUCCCCUAACACUUUUCCUUGAUGCCAGGGGAUCGGUGAUACAACUGACAAUAAGGAGAUCAUCGUCUUGGAAGUUCUCAACCAGAACAGGGAUGACAGCAACUUCGAAGAUCCAAACCUCGCGUCAAAGUUUAUAGCUGCCUUGACUUUCCAAAAGGAGGUCGAUGGUCAUAAAGAUAUGGAAGAGACGCCUAUUUUUGAGGAAAGCCGCCUGAAACGACUGCUGGACCAGAGCAGAUUGUUUGCCACCCAGACAUUCCGAGGAAAAAGAUUCAACGACGAUGUAAUCAAAGAUUACAGUAAUCUUUGCUUACACCAGGAGCUGUUUGAUUUCAGUAAACCAAAUGAAGACCAAACAACUGACGGAUUCAUAAUCCUUUGAUUAAAGAGAAAAGAAAAUGGAAAGGGAAUGUGAAAUCAUUCAUACAAAUAAGGAGCAACAGGGAUAAUAGGCAACAAAACAAUUAAAAGAAAAUAAUGGAAGGAGGAAUAGAUGAAGUUUGCUUGAAAAAAAAAGGCAGACACAUAAUUAAAUAUUAAUUAUAUGUAUUCACCAUAAGACACUUAAAUUAUAUGUACUCAUCAUAAGACACUUAAAAUGCUUCUAUAUUUUCAUUUUCAUUGUAAUUACUCGGAAUUUCAUGAGAUCACGUUUUGUGCAUAACUAAAUCGUCUUUUAACAGUUACAUUAACUUGUGAAUUAUCAUCCUAUGGUGGUCAUAAUAAAAAAUUAUACCUAUGUUAAUAG